UACGAAGGGUGCAAGCGUUACUCGGAAUUACUGGGCGUAAAGGGCGCGUAGGCGGCCUCUUAAGUCGAACGUGAAAUCCCCGGGCUCAACCCGGGAACUGCGUCCGAUACUGGGGGGCUUGAAUCCGGGAGAGGGAUGUGGAAUUCCAGGUGUAGCGGUGAAAUGCGUAGAUAUCUGGAGGAACACCGGUGGCGAAGGCGGCAUCCUGGACCGGUAUUGACGCUGAGGCGCGAAAGCCAGGGGAGCAAACGGG
rnacentral:rRNA from 1 species